rnacentral:rRNA from 1 species
GACGAACGCUGGCGGCGUGCUUAACACAUGCAAGUCGAACGGAAAGGCCCUGCUUUUGUGGGGUGCUCGAGUGGCGAACGGGUGAGUAACACGUGAGUAACCUGCCCUUGACUUUGUUAUAACUUCAGGAAACUGGGGCUAAUACCGGAUAGGAGCUCCUGCUGCAUGGUGGGGGUUGGAAAGUUUCGGCGGUUGGGGAUGGACUCGCGGCUUAUCAGCUUGUUGGUGGGGUAGUUGCUUACCAAGGCUUUGACGGGUAGCCGGCCUGAGAGGGUGACCGGCCACAUUGGGACUGAGAUACGGCCCAGACUGCUACGGGAGGCAGCAGUGGGGAAUAUUGCACAAUGGGCGGAAGCCUGAUGCAGCAACGCCGCGUGCGGGAUGACGGCCUUCGGGUUGUAAACCGCUUCCGCCUGUGACGAAGCGUGAGUGACGGUAAUGGGUAAAGAAGCACCGGCUAACUACGUG